AUUUUCUAAGUGUUAAUUUUUCUGACAAGGUUUGACCAUACUUUAGAUGCUUGAUUUAUUGUUGUUAUGAUUAUUUUAAGUGUUAGAGUUGUAGUCCUACAUGUUGUCUACACACUGGAAUUGAUAGAUCACGUAAACAUUUCACGAUCAAGUUAUAGAAGUCCAAAGUAGGCAUCACGAACUGUUCUUCACGAAGAACAGCUCUGAUAGCUACUUUGAGGUACGAUUUCCCCCAGAUCUGAUGUUUUUUAGAGGUUAUGAUUGUUGGUAAUUGUAGUCUGGUAUUUCCUCUAGAAGAUCCAAGUCAUAGAUUGCCCAGAUUCAUUAAGACCAAAAUGUUAUUCAUGGUCAAAGUAGCCCCCUUGAACUGUCUCUGACAGUGUUCUUGAGAUGAAGAACACCUAUAGCGACGGUUGUCUGUCGCUAUAGCCUUUAGCGACGGAUUUUAUUUAUUUUAUUUUCUGUAAUUUCUGGAAAAUGAUUUAAAAAUUAGAAAAAAAUAGAUUUUAAUUAUUAAAAGUACUUAUUAAAUUCUAAAAAAAUUAUUUUAAAUUCCGAAAAAUAUUAUUUAAUUAUUUUGAGUAUAUUUCAUAAAUAUUUAAUAUUUUUGGAAUAUAAAAGGUAUUUAUUUAUUUAAUUAUAAUAUUAAAUAAAUGAUUUAAAAAUAGUUUUAAUUCAUGAAAAAUCAUGAAAAAUUAUAUUAUGGUAUAAGAAAAUAUUUUAAGUUAUUUGUGAUGACUUUUAAUAUUUUGUGAUGAAUUUCAUUAAUUAAUUAUAUAUUAAUGAUAUUAAAGUUAUUUAUUGAUUAUAUUAAAUAAUUAGUUUAAAAAUGAUUUUAAUAUUUUAAAAAUCAUUU
rnacentral:lncRNA from 1 species